UGGGGAAUAUUGCACAAUGGGCGCAAGCCUGAUGCAGCGACGCCGCGUGGGGGAUGACGGCCUUCGGGUUGUAAACUCCUUUCGCCAGGGACGAAGCGUUUUGUGACGGUACCUGGAGAAGAAGCGCCGGCUAACUACGUGCCAGCAGCCGCGGUAAUACGUAGGGUGCAAGCGUUGUCCGGAAUUACUGGGCGUAAAGAGCUCGUAGGUGGUUUGUCACGUCGUCUGUGAAAUUCCACAGCUUAACUGUGGGCGUGCAGGCGAUACGGGCUGACUUGAGUACUGUAGGGGUAACUGGAAUUCCUGGUGUAGCGGUGAAAUGCGCAGAUAUCAGGAGGAACACCGAUGGCGAAGGCAGGUUACUGGGCAGUUACUGACGCUGAGGAGCGAAAGCAUGGGUAGCAAACAGGAUUAGAUACCCUGGUAGUCCAUGCCGUAAACGGUGGGCGCUAGGUGUAGGGGCCUUUUGGGGUUUCUGUGCCGUAGCUAACGCAUUAAGCGCCCCGCCUGGGGAGUACGGCCGCAAGGCUA
rnacentral:rRNA from 1 species